rfam:Gossypium raimondii Chr03_contig_201, whole genome shotgun sequence.
UGUUAAAAAUUUAAUCCCUUUGUAUUGUUAAAAAUUAGCUCAACUGAUAGAAUAACUAGACAAUAACACGUGGCAUAUGACGUGUACCUCAUAUUGACGUACAAGACUUAUUUUUAACAAUAAAAAUAAAAAUAAAAUUUAACA